rnacentral:rRNA from 1 species
UACGUAGGGGGCAAGCGUUGUCCGGAUUUAUUGGGCGUAAAGAGCGUGUAGGCGGCUAAAUAGGUCCGUUGUGAAAACUCGAGGCUCAACCUCGAGCUGUCGGCGGAAACCAUCUGGCUAGAGUCCGGAAGAGGAGAGUGGAAUUCCUGGUGUAGCGGUGAAAUGCGCAGAUAUCAGGAAGAACACCUAUGGCGAAGGCAGCUCUCUGGGACGGUACUGACGCUGAGACGCGAAAGCGUGGGGAGCGAACAGG